rnacentral:rRNA from 1 species
UACGGGGGGGGUAAGCGUUGUUCGGAAUUACUGGGCGUAAAGCGUGCGCAGGCGGCUUUGCAAGACAGAUGUGAAAUCCCCGGGCUUAACCUGGGAACUGCAUUUGUGACUGCACGGCUAGAGUGUGUCAGAGGGGGGUAGAAUUCGACGUGUAGCAGUGAAAUGCGUAGAGAUGUGGAGGAAUACCGAUGGCGAAGGCAGCCCCCUGGGAUAACACUGACGCUCAUGCACGAAAGCGUGGGGAGCAAACAGG